UGCGUAGGCGGUUCUGUAAGUAUGGUGUGAAAUCUCCCGGCUUAACUGGGAGGGUGCGCUAUAAACUGCGGGACUAGAGUGUGGGAGAGGAAAGUGGAAUUCCUGGUGUAGCGGUGAAAUGCGUAGAUAUCAGGAGGAACACCGGUGGUGUAAACGGCUUUCUGGACCAUAACUGACGCUGAGGCACGAAAGCGUGGGUAGCAAACAGGAUUAGAUACCCUGGUAGUCCACGUCCUAAACGAUGCAUAUUUGGUGUGGGUCAUUCAGUUGAUCCGUGCCGGAGCUAACGCGUUAAAUAUGCCGCCUGGGGAGUACAGUCGCAAGGCUGAA
rnacentral:rRNA from 1 species